UGUGCGAAAGCAUGAUAAGGGAACUCCGAGUGCCAGCAUCUAAUGCUGGCUGUCCUUGUGCCUAAAACGCACAAGAUAGCAAGGGCCGGGUAAGACCGGUGCCAGCCGCCGCGGUAACACCGGCGGCCCGAGUGGUAGCCGCUAUUAUUGGGUCUAAAGGGUCCGUAGCCGGUUCGAUAAGUCCUCUGGGAAAUCUGGUUGCUUAACAAUCAGACUGCCAAGGGAUACUGUCGAACUUGAGACCGGGAGAGGUAAGAGGUACUUCAGGGGUAGGAGUGAAAUCUUGUAAUCCCUGGGGGACCAUCUGUGGCGAAGGCGUCUUACCAGAACGGGUCUGACGGUGAGGGACGAAAGCUGGGGGCGCAAACCGGAUUAGAUACCCGGGUAGUCCCAGCCGUAAACGAUGCUCGCUAUGUGUCAGGUACGGUGUGACCGUAUCUGGUGCCGUAGGGAAGCCGUGAAGCGAGCCACCUGGGAAGUACGGUCGCAAGACUGAAACUUAAAGGAAUUGGCGGGGGAGCACUACAACGGGUGGAGCCUGCGGUUUAAUUGGAUUCCAACGCCGGAA
rnacentral:rRNA from 1 species